AGAGUUUGAUCAUGGCUCAGAGCGAACGCUGGCAGCAGGCUUAACACAUGCAAGUCGAGCGGGCGUAGCAAUACGUCAGCGGCAGACGGGUGAGUAACGCGUGGGAACGUACCUUUUGGUUCGGAACAACACAGGGAAACUUGUGCUAAUACCGGAUAAGCCCUUACGGGGAAAGAUUUAUCGCCGAAAGAUCGGCCCGCGUCUGAUUAGCUAGUUGGUGAGGUAAUGGCUCACCAAGGCGACGAUCCGUAGCUGGUCUGAGAGGACGAUCAGCCACACUGGGACUGAGACACGGCCCAGACUCCUACGGGAGGCAGCAGUAGGGAAUCUUGCGCAAUGGGCGAAAGCCUGACGCAGCGACGCCGCGUGCGGGAAGAAGGCCUUCGGGUUGUAAACCGCUUUCAGGAGGGACGAAGCCACUCGGGUUAAUAGCCCAGAGGGUGACGGUACCUUCAGAAGAAGCCCCGGCUAACUACGUGCCAGCAGCCGCGGUAAUACGUAGGGGGCAAGCGUUGUCCGGAUUCAUUGGGCGUAAAGAGCGUGUAGGCGGCCAGGUAGGUCCGUUGUGAAAACUCGAGGCUCAACCUCGAGACGUCGAUGGAAACCAUCUGGCUAGAGUCCGGAAGAGGAGAGUGGAAUUCCUGGUGUAGCGGUGAAAUGCGCAGAUAUCAGGAAGAACACCUAUGGCGAAGGCAGCUCUCUGGGACGGUACUGACGCUGAGACGCGAAAGCGUGGGGAGCGAACAGGAUUAGAUACCCUGGUAGUCCACGCCGUAAACGAUGGAUGCUAGCCGUUGGCGGGUUUACUCGUCAGUGGCGCAGCUAACGCAUUAAGCAUCCCGCCUGGGGAGUACGGUCGCAAGAUUAAAACUCAAAGGAAUUGACGG
rnacentral:rRNA from 1 species